AGCAGUCGCCGCGGUAAUACAGAGGGUGCGAGCGUUAAUCGGAUUUACUGGGCGUAAAGCGUGCGUAGGCGGCUUCUUAAGUCGGAUGUGAAAUCCCUGAGCUUAACUUAGGAAUUGCAUUCGAUACUGGGAAGCUAGAGUAUGGGAGAGGAUGGUAGAAUUCCAGGUGUAGCGGUGAAAUGCGUAGAGAUCUGGAGGAAUACCGAUGGCGAAGGCAGCCAUCUGGCCUAAUACUGACGCUGAGGUACGAAAGCAUGGGGAGCAAACAGGAUUAGACCCCCGUAGUCCCUGUCUCUUAUACAC
rnacentral:rRNA from 1 species